UCCCUGGUAGUAUAUCGGUUAGUACACGCGCCUGUCAUAAUGAUACAUCAUGGAUGGUGAUUUCGCGCGAAAGCUGGGUUCGACUCCCAGCCAGGGAG